GAAGUUUGCAUGGCUGCAUCAACAGGGUGGGUGACAAGAGCAUUGGCCAGUUCUUGCGCUACGCGUUCACCAGUAGGUACAAGGAGAUACUAAGCAAGGCACACAGCUCUUCGACGAUGACAGUGCCCAAGUUCGCAACACGCCUUACAAAAGAAGAAGCUCAAGUGUUCGAAUCUGCUAGGGAAUCUAUGUCCGCCUUCAGGAAGUGGCGUGUCGGGGGUGCGAGGCUGCAGAAGGCGUCCAUUCUUGGAAGGAAGAGGAAGACAAAGCUGCCUGACGGGCCUUCGACGCCCUGAAUUAUUUUUACUGUCGAGCAGAGUGCCUGGGCGGGAGAGGGCCAAUGUUUGCACACUGAUCGAUCUGGUACUGUAAGUGUAUGGAACAGAAAAAGCGUGAAAGGCAGUUCUGAUAUGCGAUCAGACGUCGGCGUACCUGAUAUGUUUGUUUGAAUACUCGUAUCUUCAAUUUGUCAGUUGGACACACCUUAAUUGGAGUAAGAGGCUGGGGUUCGCCUCCUGGGUUGGCCAUCUCAUCUUA